rnacentral:misc_RNA from 1 species
GAUGAAGAACGCAGCGAAAUGCGAUAAGUAAUGUGAAUUGCAGAAUUCAGUGAAUCAUCGAAUCUUUGAACGCACAUUGCGCCCGCCAGUAUUCUGGCGGGCAUGCCUGUCUGAGCGUCAUUUCAACCCUCAUGCCCCUAGGGCGUGGUGUUGGGGAUCGGCCAAAGCCCGCGAGGGACGGCCGGCCCCUAAAUCUAGUGGCGGACCCGUCGUGGCCUCCUCUGCGAAGUAGUGAUAUUCCGCAUCGGAGAGCGACGAGCCCCUGCCGUUAAACCCCCAACUUUCCAAGGUUGACCUCAGAUCAGGUAGGAAUACCCGCUGAACUUAAGCAUAUCAAUAAGGGAGGA